rnacentral:rRNA from 1 species
CCUACGGGUGGCUGCAGUGAGGAAUAUUGGUCAAUGGGCGAGAGCCUGAACCAGCCAAGUCGCGUGAGGGAAGACGGUCCUAUGGAUUGUAAACCUCUUUUGUCGGGGAGCAAAAAGGCCUCGUGAGGCCACAAGUGAGAGUACCCGAAGAAAAAGCAUCGGCUAACUCCGUGCCAGCAGCUGCGGUAAUACGGAGGAUGCGAGCGUUAUCCGGAUUUAUUGGGUUUAAAGGGUGCGCAGGCGGCCUGUUAAGUCAGCGGUAAAAGCCCGGGGCUCAACCCCGGCGAGCCGUUGAAACUGGCGGGCUGGAGUCGGAGAGAAGUACGCGGAAUGCGCGGUGUAGCAGUGAAAUGCUUAGAUAUCGCGCAGAACCCCGAUUGCGAAGGCAGCGUACCGGCUCCACACUGACGCUGAGGCACGAAAGCGUGGGUAUCGAACAGGAUUAGAUACCCCAGUAGUC